rnacentral:rRNA from 1 species
AUUGAACGCUGGCGGCAGGCCUAACACAUGCAAGUCGAACGAGUGGCGGACGGGCGAGUAAUGGCUGGGAAACUGCCUGAUGGAGGGGGCUAACUACUGGAACCGGUAGCUAAUACCGCUUACCAUCCGAUGGGCCCAGAUGGGAUUAGCUUGUUGGUGGGGUAACGGCUCACAAAGGCGACGAUCCCUAGCUGGUCUGAGAGGGUGACCAGCCACCCUGUGACUGAGACACGGUCCAGACUCCUACGGGAGGCAGCAGUGGGGAAUAUUGCACAAUGGGCGCAAGCCUGAUGAAGCCAUGCCGCGUGUAUGAAGAAGGCCUUCGGGUUGUAAAGUACUUUCAUCAGAGAGGCGUUACCCACAGAAGAAGCACCGGCUAACUCCGUGCCAGCAGCCGCGGUAAUAC